UCUUGUUGUACCGCCACGUAAAAUUUA
rnacentral:piRNA from 1 species